UACGUAGGGGGCAAGCGUUGUCCGGAAUCAUUGGGCGUAAAGCGCGUGUAGGCGGUUUGGUAGGUCCGCUGUGAAAACUCGAGGCUCAACCUCGAGACGCCGGUGGAAACCAUCAGGCUAGAGUCCGGAAGAGGAGAGUGGAAUUCCUGGUGUAGCGGUGAAAUGCGCAGAUAUCAGGAAGAACACCCGUGGCUAAGGCGGCUCUCUAGUACGGUACUGACGCUGAGACGCGAAAGCGUGGGGAGCGAACAGG
rnacentral:rRNA from 1 species